ensembl:lncRNA
AUCAGUAAAGCUGCCAUCUCUGCCCCCGAACCGCCCAUCGAUGAGGAAGUUCUGGUAAAUGCAUGAUAUAUUAUGAGAAAGGGGAAAAAGUAGACUUAAAAGGACCAUAGCAGUUCUCUUAGAUAGACUCUGAAGCACUGAUCUAACUUAAAGUCAACAGGACUUUAAAAUUGAACCUAGUUACAGUGUUUAAUUCAUGUUCCUUGUCUUACUGUAAAUCAUUAUAAGCCCAACCUCCCCCCAAAUGCAUGUGUGUAUAUAUUUCCUUGGUUCCAUCCAAUUCCAUGUUAAAAUCUAGACCCAACCUAUAAUUUAAUCCUUUUUUUUUAAAGGAUUUACAACUGUUUCAGCCUUUUACGGUUUUAUAGUCCAUCAUCAGAAUCAUACGGCUAUUGAUCCGAAUAUGAAUAGAUAAGAUGUAUUAUUUUCAAUGUGUGUUUCUCUCUGUCUGUGUGUUGUUUGCUUUCUGUACUGCAUAACUUGUUCCUCAGAGUGAUGUAAAAAUAAAGCAGGAGUGACAUCGUGACUCAUUUAAUCACCGUUGUUUGGUAUAUUUCAGUAGAUCACAAGCAGGCUCAAUAAUUUCACACAUCACUUAUGCUGCAUUAUAUUAUUUAUGAUGAAAAUAAUCAUCCCGGUUUGUGUUAUGAGACCCAGCAGAAUAGAGGUGGCAUAGAAAAUGGUAAAGCUAUAUUCUGUUUUUCAACCUGUCAGAUGAUGUUAAAAGUUUUUCUGAAAGAAAUCUCUUAUGCUCACCAAAGCUGCAUUUAUAAAACAAAACAAACUAAAACUUUAAAUAAGGCAUGUUUUAUUAAUUUAAAAGAAAUGUUUUCUAUCUGAAUAUAUUUUAAAAUGUAAUUUGAACCUGUGAUGUAAAGCUGAAUUUUCAGCAUUGUCACUCCAGUUUUCAGUGUCACAAGAUCCUUCAGAAAUCAUUGUAAUAUGAUGACAUUACUGAUUAUUAUCUGUGUUGAAAAUAGUUGUGCUGAUUAAUAUUUUGUAGAAACUGUGAUAUGUUUUAUUACAGUUGAAAUGAAC